rnacentral:rRNA from 1 species
UAAUACCGCAUACGCCCUAAGGGGGAAAGCAGGGGAUCUUCGGACCUUGCGCUAUCGGAUGAGCCUAUGUCGGAUUAGCUAGUUGGUGGGGUAAAGGCCUACCAAGGCGACGAUCCGUAGCUGGUCUGAGAGGAUGAUCAGCCACAUCGGGACUGAGACACGGCCCGAACUCCUACGGGAGGCAGCAGUGGGGAAUAUUGGACAAUGGGGGCAACCCUGAUCCAGCCAUGCCGCGUGUGUGAAGAAGGCCUUCGGGUUGUAAAGCACUUUCAGUCGGGAGGAAGGCCUGGCGGUUAAUACCCGUUGGGAUUGACGUUACCGACAGAAGAAGCACCGGCUAACUCCGUGCCAGCAGCCGCGGUAAUACGGAGGGUGCGAGCGUUAAUCGGAAUUACUGGGCGUAAAGCGCGCGUAGGCGGUUUGGUAAGCGAGAUGUGAAAUCCCCGGGCUUAACCUGGGAACUGCAUUUCGAACUGCCAGGCUAGAGUGUGGUAGAGGGUAGUGGAAUUUCCUGUGUAGCGGUGAAAUGCGUAGAUAUAGGAAGGAACACCAGUGGCGAAGGCGGCUACCUGGACCAACACUGACGCUGAGGUGCGAAAGCGUGGGGAGCAAACAGGAUUAGAU